AUCAUUAAAUUUCUGGCACAAUUUGAACUGUGUUUCUGAAAUGCCCAGUGUCCCUGAAGUCUGCUGUUGUCCCACUGCAGCUUUUGAACUUCCUGUAAGGCUGGUUACACCAAAUUGAGAUUGAUGACAAAGCACAUUUUGAAGUUAUUAAAGGGGCUGACCCAUGACCAGUGCUCAAAACUACCAAGCCUCCCAUGGUGUUCUUUCUCUGUCAACUCUCUGUGGUGACAUCCUGGCAUCACACAGGAGAAGUAGUCUACAGGAGUAGACUCCUGCCCACGGAGGAAUGUUCAACCAGAGCAUUGCCACCAGGACGAAUCUGCCAAGGACUACCAAGAGACACAUGGAAAAUCAAGUGUAAAUGACCAGUGAUGCAAGGGAGCCAGGCUGCAAGUGCUUGUCCCAACACACCAAAAAAAAUCAUCAUCCUUCUGCAAAAUACCACAGAAGUGAUUUUUGUCCUUUAACUCUGAUUUAUAACCCUUUGAGAUGUCAUUGAGACUAUAGUCAAGAUCUCUAACAGGACAAAAUUAUUAGCAAAUAUAAAUUUAAUUCAGGGACUUGGGAAUUAAAAAUGAUAUGGAAAAAUCAACAUUGACAGGCAAACAAGAAGAAAUAUACUAGAAUUAGCAGAGUCCUCUGCACAUAUACACAUUUCUUCUAGCAGAUGUUCUGUCUAUCUCACUUGCAGGCAACCACCCUCGGUCAAAAUGCUGCAGACGCUAAAAAAAAAAAAAAAGGAAAAAAAAAGAUAUUCCUCAUUUUGUAACUUUUAGCGAUGUUUAUUUUGGGUUAGCAAAAUCGUCUUCUGUCUUAAGAUGUUUAAUGAUUAUUUGAAAGCAACUUGAUGAAUAGAAAAGCGUGUACUCCCACUUGGGGCAAAUGUAUUUUUGGACUGAUUCAUAAUAAUUAAUCUCUGUCUAAGUGGAAUGCAUUAAUUUCUCCUACUGGUAGGGGCUUUACUUCUGUUUCUUUUCCUAGGCUGGAUGGUUCUGCUCCAGAGACAUAUUUCCUGAUUAAAGUGGACCGCGACCGGGUACUCAGGUUAUGUCACUAUUAUCUAAACGAUCUUUUAAAGAACACAGAGUACUCGUUCUUGCAGAUAUCUUACGCUCCGCAUUUAAUCAUGGACCUUUGUAGCUUGUUAUUUCAAGAAUUCAGAUUACUGCAAAUUAAAAGUCUCUCCGUCCUUGCCAGCGCUCAGUGACAUAAAAUAAAUCCACAUAUUAAGGGGGAAAAAAACCUUGUCAAAUUGCACUGAGGGACAAAAAGCAAAGGAAAGCAGGCUUUUCAGCAAUGUGGAAACACGGUCUGCAGCACAGCUAUAAAGGGAAAUGUUACAAUUUGCUAAUAUUUCUCAUGUAGCCACAACUUUGUUGGCGAUGCAGGCAGAGCCAGCCCGGCCUCCGCAGCCCUGGCUGGACUGCAGCUCUCCCAGCUCCUUUUUUAGUAAAAUCACUUUGUCCCCAAAGUGCUGCGGGAGAAGUCCUCUGGUCCCCGCUGCCCCCCCGGCACAUCAGGGGCACGGAGCAGCCCUGUCCCUGCCCCACCAGGUCCCUUCCCACCAGGACUGGUGGCAGCAUUGCUCCUCUCUUCAUUUGGAGCAUGGCAUCCAAGGAGUGGACAGAAACAAUCAACUCCUUUUUUUUUUUUUUUUUUUUGGCUUUGAGAAUGAAUAACUUGCAGGCGGCUGUAAAAGACGAGACGCAGGGCAGGAUUUCACAGGCUGCAGGAUGAAAAGCUCUGCACGUUGUCACUGCUUUCUCCUGUGCUCAUUUUUGUCUCUGUUGCUCUGGUCCAUGGAGAGACACAAAGAGGUGAUGGUGGCAAAUGCUGCCAGGCCUGAUCAUGCUCCAUUCUCGGUCCUGAUGUCUUCCAAUCCCAGCAAAGUCUUUGGCCCUAAAGUCUUCGGGAAUCUACCCUACCAACAAAAUUGUUACCUCUUUGGGUGGGACAGGCUGUCCUCAGUGAAGAUGUGUGAGCAAAGCAGAGAGGUGUGGGAGCAAAGCAGGGGCAGAGGGAGAAUCAGGGGUGGGUGAGCAGGGGGUGGACCAUGGCAAAGCAGGCUUGGAGUCAGUAUGGGACUCUGAGGUGAUGCUGUGAGCCAAAGGGCUGCUAACGAGGCUGAUAAGGAACUGUGAGAGUGAAUGAAGUGAGUAGCAAAUGGGACAGAAGGCUGGAGGCAGUGUGGGGAGGGCCACCUGGACAUGAAGAGUGGGUAUGAGGCAGGGGUGGAAUUUAGGGUAAAUUAGGAAAUAGGGAUAAGGGUUGGGUUGCAGGUAAGAGGGGCAGACUUGUACUGAGGAGUUCAAUGAAGUGAGUUGUUGUCUACCAGGAUCUUGCUUUCACCAGUGCUUGUUCGGAGCUUAGGGCUUCAUCUCUGAGCCCUUGCCAUGACAAAGUGUUCCUGUCCCUCCCUAAACCCUCAAGAGACUACCUGAAUCUCAGCCAACACACUGCAGAUGCCUGCUGACACACUGUGUGUGGACAGGGAGAUGCUGUCCAGCCUGUAAGAAUGUGUCUCGUCCAGGGAACUAUGUACUGCACAGAGAGAUGAGCUUGGGGAUGUGAUCAGGUACUCCUGCUUUUUGGGAGAGGGCUGGUUUGAUUGCUUAUUCUGCUGGCCUCCUGCUGCCCUGAGCGGCUCUGAAUCCUGGAAGGAUGCUGUCUGUUGGAUUCCCCCUCCCUACGUGAUGGGAGGUGAAUCUGGGGCUUCAGGGCAAGGCAGGGUCAUCCCACAAUUAAGGUCUUAUGCACUUGAAUGCUACCCUGAUGAACUGGAUCCAGUUUUCUCAGUUACCUGAAGCCUACUUUUGUGUUUCUGGCCAAGGGUUGGGUUUUGCAGGCGUUGAGUAUUCCCAGUUGCAAUAAGUAUUAAUAAAAGUUGGGCUUAAUAUGUACAGUGGAAAAGCCUCUGAAAAAAACACGGUUUCUGGCUGAUUUGGACACCCCAAAGUGGUGUUUUUUUAUUUUAUUUUAAUCUGAUUAUUUUUCAUUCCUCCCUAUACUCACAGCAUGUGAUUUAACUGCAGGA